ensembl:lncRNA
CAGGCGAGGAAUACCUUUUUGUAAACAGUUCUGUAUUGAUCCUCUUUAGCACAGAAGAAGAGGACAUUUAAGGAUUUCCAAUCUCAUUCUCUCUUUUCCUCAGUGUGUGCUUGCUUGCAGGCAGUGAUAAAAAGGCUUCAGCAACUCAAUUUAACAUGUCUUUCCUUUUUGAUAUUUAUGAUCUCUUUAAAGUUACACGGAUCACCCUCUUAGCUAUCCACUUGCCAUAAAACCACUGAAUCGUUAGUCAACAUGCCCUCCAACUAAAGUAAGUAAGUUUACCACGUUGGGCGAAUGCUCCAAUAUCCAUCAUUUUUACCCCAAAAAGGGCGUCAAUCCUGUUGACGAACAAAUGCAUAAGAACCUAAUCAGCUGAAUGUAACUGAUACUGGUGUGCGUUCACCUCACCUGCUCGCUUGUUUUCAAAGGCCCGUGUGCUCAGCAGGGAAGCCCCCUCCCUCCCCAGCUUGAUAAUAGGCCGGCAGGGCAGGGAACAGGUGCAGAUUGUGCACUUGUUUGCAGCCCUUGAAUGGUCCUUUUGUGUUUUUCGCCGCUACCCAGACCCAGAAACUGUGCAGAGAACCGUUCAGCCUUCUGUCUCCGCCGGAGGGUGUUUCAGCGGCCACGAUGACUCCGACCUCGUUCCUCGGUACCAGGCUGUCCCGAUCUGCUCCACAUUGUCGUACGUGCGAUGGAGCGGGCCAGCCUCACAGUUUGUCGCUGGUUUCAUGACUCAACUUGCUAAUUGGUUCGGUUUGUUGACAGACUCGACAGAUGUGGAUAUAGAAGUAAGUAAUACCAUCAUAAGUCUUAUACGCUAUCUUAGUCUUUUUUUUUAAAACUUGUUUUCCUCAUUAUAGGUUAUAUUUAUUUGCUUGGCUUGAUUUCCGUCUUGCAUGAAAUACAGUCAUAGUUUCGUAUUCACUUAUUCAUUUAAAGAGGGCAUAUUACGUCUCGAUGGUGUUUUGUUCCUGGCGUUCAUUUUAUUCAUUAAUAGAUUCAUAAACUGCACAUUUUAUAUGUUUGUGGUAUUUCUUGUCAGUGUAUUUUUCUUCAACACUAGAGGGUGC